AGCCCAGAGCCUGAAUCAGUGUGUGUGUUAGUGGAAGCGUCUGGAAAGGCGCGCGAUACAGGGUGACAGCCCCGUACACAAAAAUGCACAUGCUGUGAGCUCGAUGAGUAGGGCGGGACACGUGGUAUCCUGUCUGAAUAUGGGGGGACCAUCCUCCAAGGCUAAAUACUCCUGACUGACCGAUAGUGAACCAGUACCGUGAGGGAAAGGCGAAAAGAACCCCGGCGAGGGGAGUGAAAAAGAACCUGAAACCGUGUACGUACAAGCAGUGGGAGCACGCUUAGGCGUGUGACUGCGUACCUUUUGUAUAAUGGGUCAGCGACUUAUAUUCUGUAGCAAGGUUAACCGAAUAGGGGAGCCGAAGGGAAACCGAGUCUUAACUGGGCGUUAAGUUGCAGGGUAUAGACCCGAAACCCGGUGAUCUAGCCAUGGGCAGGUUGAAGGUUGGGUAACACUAACUGGAGGACCGAACCGACUAAUGUUGAAAAAUUAGCGGAUGACUUGUGGCUGGGGGUGAAAGGCCAAUCAAACCGGGAGAUAGCUGGUUCUCCCCGAAAGCUAUUUAGGUAGCGCCUCGUGAAUUCAUCUCCGGGGGUAGAGCACUGUUUCGGCAAGGGGGUCAUCCCGACUUACCAACCCGAUGCAAACUGCGAAUACCGGAGAAUGUUAUCACGGGAGACACACGGCGGGUGCUAACGUCCGUCGUGAAGAGGGAAACAACCCAGACCGCCAGCUAAGGUCCCAAAGUCAUGGUUAAGUGGGAAACGAUGUGGGAAGGCCCAGACAGCCAGGAUGUUGGCUUAGAAGCAGCCAUCAUUUAAAGAAAGCGUAAUAGCUCACUGGUCGAGUCGGCCUGCGCGGAAGAUGUAACGGGGCUAAACCAUGCACCGAAGCUGCGGCAGCGACGCUUAUGCGUUGUUGGGUAGGGGAGCGUUCUGUAAGCCUGUGAAGGUGUGCUGUGAGGCAUGCUGGAGGUAUCAGAAGUGCGAAUGCUGACAUAAGUAACGAUAAAGCGGGUGAAAAGCCCGCUCGCCGGAAGACCAAGGGUUCCUGUCCAACGUUAAUCGGGGCAGGGUGAGUCGACCCCUAAGGCGAGGCCGAAAGGCGUAGUCGAUGGGAAAC
rnacentral:rRNA from 1 species